rnacentral:rRNA from 1 species
CCUGAUCCAGCCAUCCCGCGUGUGCGAUGAAGGCCUUCGGGUUGUAAAGCACUUUUGGCAGGAAAGAAACGUCAUGGGUUAAUACCCCGUGAAACUGACGGUACCUGCAGAAUAAGCACCGGCUAACUACGUGCCAGCAGCCGCGGUAAUACGUAGGGUGCAAGCGUUAAUCGGAAUUACUGGGCGUAAAGCGUGCGCAGGCGGUUCGGAAAGAAAGAUGUGAAAUCCCAGAGCUUAACUUUGGAACUGCAUUUUUAACUACCGGGCUAGAGUGUGUCAGAGGGAGGUGGAAUUCCGCGUGUAGCAGUGAAAUGCGUAGAUAUGCGGAGGAACACCGAUGGCGAAGGCAGCCUCCUGGGAUAACACUGACGCUCAUGCACGAAAGCGUGGGGAGCAAACAGGAUUAGAUACCCUGGUAGUCCACGCCCUAAACGAUGUCAACUAGCUGUUGGGGCCUUCGGGCCUUGGUAGCGCAGCUAACGCGUGAAGUUGACCGCCUGG